rnacentral:lncRNA from 1 species
AAGGACUGGUUCACACAUGGCAUUUCAUCACUAGAUGGCUGCAACAUCACUUGAUGGUUUGCAUGUUCCAUCCCCAGAUAAAUUCAGCACAGACCAAACUGCUUAACAUGCAAGUAUGCACCGAGGCCAUCGUAAUUCUGAUUCCAGUUACUGCAAGAGGAGUGUGCCGUUAAUAUGCUAAUCUUUUCCGGUAAGUGGGUAUUUCAAUUAAUUAAAAUAUUAAAUAAAGACUGGGGAAACAGGUCAUUGACCCAUGAUGGGCAUGAUGACCUGUCAUCAUCCUAUGCUGAAUUUUCAGUUUUCAGGAUAGGUAUCGUAUCUGACAUAACAUCUGUUUUGCAGCAGCUGCAUUCCCAGUUUAUGUCCCCUGUUAUGGCUCCUGCCAACCUAGCAGUUUGAAAGCACGUCAAAGUGCAAGUAGAUAAAUAGGUACCGCUCCGGCGGGAAGGUAAAUGGCAUUUCCGUGUGCUGCUCUGGUUCGCCAGAAGCGGCUUAGUCAUGCUGGCCACAUGACCUGGAAGCUGUGACGCCGGCUCCCUCGGCCAAUAAAGCGAGAUGAGCGCUGCAACCCCAGAGUCUGCCACUGGACCUAAUGGUCAGGGGUCCCUUUACCUUUACCUAUGGCUCAGAGGCUUCUAGGAGCAGCAGGUGAGCACCUCUGGUCUGGUUCCAUCUUGGUUCAAGUGGAGCUCAUCCCUUUUGGACAGCCCCAGCUUGUCCUAAAGGACUGCUCAGUGUCCAGCAAAUCCCAAAUACCACUCAUGCAGUGAUUUAAGUCUCAGUGAAUUAAUGACAAAGGUAAUCAUAGCAAUGUCAUUUCCUGAUGAUGUGGACAAGGUGUGGGGAAUAAGAAUCACAUAUCAAGGUUUCUACACUUUUCACCCAGACUCUCACAUGAGAAUGAGGAAAUCCCAGCGUGUGGAAUAAUGCAAAUGCUUUUGAAACACACUCAUUCUGCAUUGCAUAAGGGACCUUCCUUGGAAGUUUGCUGUGAGGUGAGAGAUCUGUUAUUUGGGGAUGGCUCUUUCCACCUGCCUUGCC